AGUUUGAUCCUGGCUCAGGACGAACGCUGGCGGCGUGCCUAAUACAUGCAAGUCGAACGCUUCUUUUUCCACCGGAGCUUGCUCCACCGGAAAAAGAGGAGUGGCGAACGGGUGAGUAACACGUGGGUAACCUGCCCAUCAGAAGGGGAUAACACUUGGAAACAGGUGCUAAUACCGUAUAACAAUCGAAACCRCAUGGUUUYGAUUUGAAAGGCGCUUUCGGGUGUCGCUGAUGGAUGGACCCGCGGUGCAUUAGCUAGUUGGUGAGGUAACGGCUCACCAAGGCGACGAUGCAUAGCCGACCUGAGAGGGUGAUCGGCCACAUUGGGACUGAGACACGGCCCAAACUCCUACGGGAGGCAGCAGUAGGGAAUCUUCGGCAAUGGACGAAAGUCUGACCGAGCAACGCCGCGUGAGUGAAGAAGGUUUUCGGAUCGUAAAACUCUGUUGUUAGAGAAGAACAAGGAUGAGAGUAACUGUUCAUCCCUUGACGGUAUCUAACCAGAAAGCCACGGCUAACUACGUGCCAGCAGCCGCGGUAAUACGUAGGUGGCAAGCGUUGUCCGGAUUUAUUGGGCGUAAAGCGAGCGCAGGCGGUUUCUUAAGUCUGAUGUGAAAGCCCCCGGCUCAACCGGGGAGGGUCAUUGGAAACUGGGAGACUUGAGUGCAGAAGAGGAGAGUGGAAUUCCAUGUGUAGCGGUGAAAUGCGUAGAUAUAUGGAGGAACACCAGUGGCGAAGGCGGCUCUCUGGUCUGUAACUGACGCUGAGGCUCGAAAGCGUGGGGAGCAAACAGGAUUAGAUACCCUGGUAGUCC
rnacentral:rRNA from 1 species